GACGAACGCUGGCGGCGUGCUUAACACAUGCAAGUCGAACGGAAAGGCCCUGCUUUUGUGGGGUGCUCGAGUGGCGAACGGGUGAGUAACACGGGAGUAACCUGCCCUGGACUUUGGGAUACUUCAGGAAACUGGGGCUAAUACCGGAUAGGAGCUGCGGCUGCAUGGGGGGGGGUGGGAAGUUUCGGCGGUUGGGGAUGGACUCGCGGCUUAGCAGCUUGUUGGGGGGGUAGUGGCUUACCAAGGCGUUGAGGGGUAGCCGGCCUGAGAGGGUGACCGGCCACAUUGGGACUGAGAUACGGCCCAGACUCCUACGGGAGGCAGCAGUGGGGAAUAUUGCACAAUGGGCGGAAGCCUGAUGCAGCAACGCCGCGUGCGGGAUGACGGCCUUCGGGUUGUAAAACGCUUUCGCCUGUGACGAAGCGUGAGUGACGGUAAUGGGUAAAGAAGCACCGGCUAACUACGUG
rnacentral:rRNA from 1 species